rnacentral:rRNA from 1 species
CACCGCGGUUAUACGAGAGACCCAAGUUGAUAGUCAACGGCGUAAAGAGUGGUUAAGAAAACCUGAAAACUAAAGCCGAACACCUUCAAAGCUGUUAUACGCAUUCGAAAGUAAGAAGCCCAACUACGAAAGUGGCUUUACACCACCCGAACCCACGAAAGCUAAGAAA